CACUUAAACAGACAGUGAAAACAAGUGGCAAAUGAGGAUUUUGCAACUGAGUGGAAAUGUAUGGGCUUUGCAGGGGUUUAAUUAAAGUCAAACCGUGUCCUCGGGGCCCCCUGGCAUACUGUACAGGCCUCAGGAGGACCCAUUUGACCAGGCACGCCAAGGAAAUCAGCUGCUGGACUUGGGAGAGUGUGGACAGAAGACAUGGGCAAUUAUGACAGCAUGAGUUUCUUCAUUGUCUCCUUUGAUCUAGUUUCAGGUCACAAGCCUUCUCCUCUCAUGUCGCUCUGCUCCGAGGCCUGAGAUGAGCCCGAUAAAGUCACCAAAUUGAAUUGCAGAAUUGUUGUUUUUCUCCGUACACCUACACUAAUGCAUUCUUUGGCUGGUAUUUUUAAUGUGGCACACUGGCAGUAUGCCCCCUGGAGAUGAAUGGUUUUGAAUUCUCACGCACACUUGGGAAGCACAUGAGCACACACACGCACAAACAACCAAUGUGAGUCACCAA